rnacentral:rRNA from 1 species
GUGCCAGCAGCCGCGGUAAGACAGAGGGUGCAAACGUUGUUCGGAAUUACUGGGCGUAAAGCGUGUGUAGGCGGCCAUGUAGGUCGGAUGUGAAAGCCCUGGGCUCAACCCAGGAAGUGCAUUCGAAACCCCAUGGCUUGAGUAUCGGAGAGGUUGGUGGAAUUCUCGGUGUAGAGGUGAAAUUCGUAGAUAUCGAGAGGAACACCGGUGGCGAAGGCGGCCAACUGGACGAAUACUGACGCUGAGACACGAAAGCGUGGGGAGCAAACAGGAUUAGAUACCCCCGUAGUCC